rnacentral:rRNA from 1 species
GACGAACGCUGGCGGCGUGCCUAACACAUGCAAGUCAAGGGGAAACGGGUAGCAAUAUCCGGAGUACACUGGCGCACGGGUGAGUAACGCGUAGGCAACCUGCCCAUCGGACGGGGAUCAUUCAGCGAAAGCUGGACUCAUACCCGAUGUUGAGACGCCAUCGCACGGUGGUGUCUUGAAAAGCCCGCAAGGGUGCCGAUGGAUGGGCCUGCGUCCCAUUAGGUAGUUGGUGGGGUAAAGGCUCACCAAGCCAACGAUCUGUAGCUGGUCUGAGAGGACGACCAGCCACACUGGGACUGAGACACGGCCCAGACUCCUACGGGAGGCAGCAGUGGGGAAUUUUGGACAAUGGGCGAAAGCCUGAUCCAGCAAUGCCGCGUGCAGGAAGAAGGCCUUCGGGUUGUAAACUGCUUUUGUACGGAGCGAAAAGGCUCUCUCUAAUACAGGGGGCUCAUGACGGUACCGUAAGAAUAAGCACCGGCUAACUACGUGCCAGCAGCCGCGGUAAGAC